GACAGGUGAAUCAUCGAAUCUUUGAACGCACAUUGCGCCCGUUAGUAUUCUGACGGGCAUGCCUGUUCGAGCGUCAUUUCAACCCUCAGGCUCUCCUGCCUGGUGAUGGGGACUCUUUUUGCGGGUUUGUUAUCCCGCAAGCCCUGAAAGACAGUGGCGGGCUCCGCCAUGCUCCGAGCGCAGUAAUUUUCUCGCUCCGGCCGCGCGGCGGGUGNCUUGCCUUGCACACACACUUAACAAUGGUUGACCUCGGAUCAGGUAGGAAUACCCGCUGAACUUAAGCAUAUCAAUAAGCGGAGG
rnacentral:misc_RNA from 1 species